GAUGAACGCUGGCGGCGUGCCUAAUACAUGCAAGUCGAGCGAACAGACGAGGAGCUUGCUCCUCUGACGUUAGCGGCGGACGGGUGAGUAACACGUGGAUAACCUACCUAUAAGACUGGGAUAACUUCGGGAAACCGGAGCUAAUACCGGAUAAUAUAUUGAACCGCAUGGUUCAAUAGUUCAAGACGGUUUUGCUGUCACUUAUAGAUGGAUCCGCGCCGCAUUAGCUAGUUGGUAAGGUAACGGCUUACCAAGGCAACGAUGCGUAGCCGACCUGAGAGGGUGAUCGGCCACACUGGAACUGAGACACGGUCCAGACUCCUACGGGAGGCAGCAGUGGGGAAUCUUCCGCAAUGGGCGAAAGCCUGACGGAGCAACGCCGCGUGAGUGAUGAAGGUCUUCGGAUCGUAAAACUCUGUUAUUAGGGAAGAACAAAUGUGUAAGUAACUAUGCACGUCUUGACGGUACCUAAUCAGAAAGCCACGGCUAACUACGUG
rnacentral:rRNA from 1 species